UUGUGGUGCAGAAGAUCCAGAAAGCUGGGGGGGUUGUGCAUGGUGGGGGACAGGAAGUAUAAGGGAACUCUUUAUUUUCUGCUCAGUUUUGCCCUGAACAUAAAACUGCUCUAAAAGGAAAGCAUAUAUUUUAAAUUUGUUGUUUUUUUUUUUUUUUUUUAAAAAAACCCACAUACUAAGAUACUAUUUUUUUAACCUUAUAAAAAUAAAAAAUUUGAUAAUUAGUUCGUGGAGGAAAAGGCACUCUCGUACACUGUUAGUCAAAGAACAAAACGGUAAAAUCUCUAUGAAGAGAAAUGUGGCAAUAUCUAACAAAA